rnacentral:lncRNA from 13 species
UUUCCAUCUGCCAGUGGUGCUAAUCCUUAAUCUUGGUGUAACUAGAUAAUCUUUUCAGAUAUUAAUUCAUGUGGAGUUCUCUCUGUAUCUUCUCUUUUUCAAUGUCCCUGACUACCUCCCUCUCCCUCUUUCUCCUUUCCGCACCUGCAUUCAAGCUGACCCUUGAUUUCAGCUGUCUGGCUUCAGUGACUUGUGGAGAAUCUGCCUUAAGACAAGUCCCAGAAAAGUGGCCCCUGAUCCAAAAUCUCCUGAUCAAUUCAAUGAUGGUCCAUCAAGCUCAGUAAGUGCCAGGUGAAGUUUUGCUCACAUCCAGUGAUCAAAACAUAAACAUAAACUAAUCUUCUUUUGAUUACUGUCUGAUGUCAAGAGCUAGAUUAAGUUUUGUCCCAAAGGCAAAGUGUUUCAAAGUGUUUUAACAAUUUUUAUUUUACUUCUUUGUGGUAUUUCCUUUUAUCUGAGUUGUAGCUUUUGUUCGCUGUACAAAUGCCAUGCUAAAAUAUUUAUUUGAUUAAAAAUAAUUUAUGUCAAAAUCUUAGUGAAUUCAGAAUUGCAAUUCAAUUUCAAAUGUCUUCAUUUGGUUUUUAAAAAAAAUGUAACUUGAGUAUAUGUUAGUGCUAUU